rnacentral:rRNA from 1 species
CCUACGGGUGGCAGCAGUGAGGAAUAUUGGUCAAUGGUCGGGAGCCUAAACCAGCCAAGUCGCGUGAGGGAGGACUGCCCUACGGAUUGUAAACUUCUUUUGUAAAGGAAUAAAGUAGGGCACGUGUCCCUGUUUGUAUGUACUUUAUGAAUAAGCAUCAACUAACUCCGUUCCAGCAGCCGCGGUAAUACGGAGGAUCCGAGCGUUAUCCGGAUUUAUUGGGUUUAAAGGGAGCGUAGACGGGUUGUUAAGUCAGUGGUGAAAGUUUGCGGCUCAACCGUAAAAGUGCAAUUGAUACUGGCAGCCUCGAGUACAGGUGAGGUAGGCGGAAUGCGUGGUGUAGCGGUGAAAUGCUUAGAUAUCACGAAGAACUCAGAUUGCGAAGGCAGCCUACUAAAUUGCCACUGACAUUGAUGCUCGAAAGUGUGGGUAUCAAACAGGAUUAGAUACCCGAGUAGUC